CAGUCAGACAUUGCAUGAUUCUUGAUCAAAUAAAGGGUGGCAAGCAUCAAAUUUCUUCCAUGCCUCGCUAUCUGACGGAUGACUCAUCAGAUCAGUGUGCUUGUGAAUUUCUUCUUUAUGCCAUCUCAUCUGUCCGACAGUACUUUUAGACAAGUAGAUCCUUCGAAGUCUAGGAGUGAGGAGAAGGUAUCAAAGAACCUUAUAUGAUAUAUCAUUCUGAUUUCUAUCCUCUUGUCUCAGCU
rnacentral:lncRNA from 1 species